GGCUUAGAAGCAGCCAUCCUUGAAAGAGUGCGUAAUAGCUCACUGGUCAAGUGGUGAUGCGCCGACAAUGUAGCGGGGCUUAAGCACACCGCCGAAGCCGCGGCGCCCUCCGUGUGGGGGGUGGGUAGGGGAGCGUCCUGCGUGGGGGGAAGCCGUCGUGUGAGCGUCGGUGGACUGCGUGGGAGUGAGAAUGCAGGCAUGAGUAACGAGUGGCGGGUGAGAAUCCCGUCCGCCGAUUGACUAAGGGUUCCAGGGCCAGGUUGAUCCGCCCUGGGUUAGUCGGGUCCUAAGGCGAGGCCGUCAGGCGUAGUCGAUGGGCAACGGGUUGACAUUCCCGUACCGGACGGCGGCCGUCCGAUGUCUGCUGGGUGGGGCGUUGUCGUCCCUGUGCGUUGUUUCUGCGCCUUUCGGGGUGUGGGGGGCGUGCGGGCGCGGGGCGUGCCUGUCUGGUGUGGCAAGCGUGGUAACAGGUGUGACGCAGUGAGGUAGCCUGUCCGUGUCUUAUGGCUUGGCACGGCCAAGGGUGUGGCCCGUCGCCGUGGUAAAUCCCGGCGGUGUGUGGGUGAGGCCUGAUGGGGACCGUUGAUGGGAAGCGGGUGAUCCUGUGCUGCCGAGAAAAGCAUCGACGCGAGGCCGUUGUCCGCCCGUACCCGAAACCGACACAGGUGGUCAGGUAGAGUAUACCGAGGCGUUCGAGUGACUCGUGGUUAAGGAACUCGGCAAAAUGCCCCCGUAACUUCGGGAGAAGGGGGGCCCUGCGCGUGGUCCGUCCGUGCGGCGGGGAGCGUGGCGGGGCCGCAGAGUCCAGGGAGAAGCGACUGUUUAUCAAAAACACAGGUCCGUGCCAAGCCGCAAGGCGAUGUAUACGGACUGACGCCUGCCCGGUGCUGGAAGGUUAAGCGGACCGGUCAGCCCCCUGUGUGGGGUGACGCCGGGAAGUUAAGCCCCAGUAAACGGCGGUGGUAACUAUAACCAUCCUAAGGUAGCGAAAUUCCUUGUCGGGUAAGUUCCGACCUGCACGAAUGGCGUAACGACUUCUCCGCUGUCUCGACCACGAACUCGGUGAAAUUGCAGUACGAGUAAAGAUGCUCGUUUCGCGCAGCAGGACGGAAAGACCCCGGGACCUUUACUGCAGCUUGGUAUGGGUGUUCGGCGCGGUUUGUGUAGGAUAGGUGGGAGACGGUGAUCCGCUCGCGCUAGCGGGCGGGGAGUCGCUGGUGAAAUACCACUCUGGCCGUGUUGGGCUCCUAACCUCGGCCCGUGAUCCGGGUCAGGGACAGUGCCUGGUGGGUAGUUUAACUGGGGCGGUUGCCUCCUAAAGGGUAACGGAGGCGCUCAAAGGUCCCCUCAGCCUGGUUGGUCAUCAGGUGGCGAGUGCAAGUGCACAAGGGGGCUUGACUGUGAGACUGACAGGUCGAGCAGGCACGAAAGUGGGAACUAGUGAUCCGGCGGUCGCGUGUGGAAGCGCCGUCGCUCAACGGAUAAAAGGUACCCCGGGGAUAACAGGCUGAUCCUGCCCAA
rnacentral:rRNA from 1 species